GACGAACGCUGGCGGCGUGCUUAACACAUGCAAGUCGAACGGAAAGGCCCUGCUUUUGUGGGGUGCUCGAGUGGCGAACGGGUGAGUAACACGUGAGUAACCUGCCCUUGACUUUGGGAUAACUUCAGGAAACUGGGGCUAAUACCGGAUAGGAGCUCCUGCUGCAUGGUGGGGGUUGGAAAGUUUCGGCGGGUGGGGAUGGACUCGCGGCUUAUCAGCUUGUUGGUGGGGGAGUGGCUUACCAAGGCUUUGACGGGUAGCCGGCCUGAGAGGGUGACCGGCCACAUUGGGACUGAGAGACGGCGCAGACUCCUACGGGAGGCAGCAGUGGGGAAUAUUGCACAAUGGGCGGAAGCCUGAUGAAGCAACGCCGCGUGCGGGAUGACGGCCUGCGGGUUGUAAACCGCUUUCGCCUGUGACGAAGCGUGAGUGACGGUAAUGGGUAAAGAAGCACCGGCUAACUACGUG
rnacentral:rRNA from 1 species